rnacentral:rRNA from 1 species
CAUUGCCUACGGGGGGCAGCAGUGGGGAAUAUUGCACAAUGGGCGCAAGCCUGAUGCAGCCAUGCCGCGUGUAUGAAGAAGGCCUUCGGGUUGUAAAGUACUUUCAGCGGGGAGGAAGGGAGUAAAGUUAAUACCUUUGCUCAUUGCCGUUACCCGCCGCAGAAGCACCGGCUAACUCCGUGCCAGCCGCCGCGGUAAUACGGAGGGUGCAAGCGUUAAUCGGAAUUACUGGGCGUCAAGCGCACGCAGGCGGUUUGUU